UACUACGUGCACUUUUGUUUUCGCGAAAAUGCCAUAACAUACUUGUAUUUCGUGAGAUUACACGUACGUA
rnacentral:tRNA from 1 species